rnacentral:misc_RNA from 1 species
GAUGAAGAACGCAGCGAAAUGCGAUAAGUAAUGUGAAUUGCAGAAUUCAGUGAAUCAUCGGAUCUUUGAACGCACAUUGCGCCCGCCAGUAUUCUGGCGGGCAUGCCUGUCCGAGCGUCAUUUCAACCCUCGAACCCCUCCGGGGGGUCGGCGUUGGGGAUCGGCACUUACCUGCCGGCCCCGAAAUACAGUGGCGGUCUCGCCGCAGCCUCUCCUGCGCAGUAGUUUGCACACUCGCACCGGGAGCGCGGCGCGUCCACGGCCGUAAAACAACCCAAACUUCUGAAAUGUUGACCUCGGAUCAGGUAGGAAUACCCGCUGAACUUAAGCAUAUCAAUAAGCGGAGGA